AUUGAACGCUGGCGGCAGGCCUAACACAUGCAAGUCGAGCGGAUGAAGGGAGCUUGCUCCUGGCUUCAGCGGCGGACGGGUGAGUAAUGCCUAGGAAUCUGCCUGGGAGUGGGGGAUAACGUCCGGAAACGGGCGCUAAUACCGCAUACGUCCUGAGGGAGAAAGUGGGGGAUCUUCGGACCUCACGCUAUCAGAUGAGCCUAGGUCGGAUUAGCUAGUUGGUGGGGUAAAGGCCUACCAAGGCGACGAUCCGUAACUGGUCUGAGAGGAUGAUCAGUCACACUGGAACUGAGACACGGUCCAGACUCCUACGGGAGGCAGCAGUGGGGAAUAUUGGACAAUGGGCGAAAGCCUGAUCCAGCCAUGCCGCGUGUGUGAAGAAGGUCUUCGGAUUGUAAAGCACUUUAAGUUGGGAGGAAGAGCAGUAAGUUAAUACCUUGCUGUUUUGACGUUACCAACAGAAUAAGCACCGGCUAACUUCGUG
rnacentral:rRNA from 1 species